UACGUAGGGGGCAAGCGUUGUCCGGAAUUAUUGGGCGUAAAGAGCGUGUAGGCGGUCCGGUAAGUCGGCUGUGAAAGUCCAGGGCUCAACCCUGGGAUGCCGGUCGAUACUGCCGGACUAGAGUUCGGAAGAGGCGAGUGGAAUUCCCGGUGUAGCGGUGGAAUGCGCAGAUAUCAGGAAGAACACCAACGGCGAAGGCAGCUCGCUGGGACGGUACUGACGCUGAGACGCGAAAGCGUGGGGAGCGAACAGG
rnacentral:rRNA from 1 species